GAUGAACGCUGGCGGCGUGCCUAAUACAUGCAAGUCGAGCGAACAGACGAGGAGCUUGCUCCUCUGACGUUAGCGGCGGACGGGUGAGUAACACGUGGAUAACCUACCUAUAAGACUGGGAUAACUUCGGGAAACCGGCGCUAAUACCGGAUAAUAUAUUGAACCGCAUGGUUCAAUAGUGAAAGACGGUUUUGCUGUCACUUAUAGAUGGAUCCGCGCCGCAUUAGCUAGUUGGUAAGGUAACGGCUUACCAAGGCGAUGAUGCGUAGCCGACCUGAGAGGGGGAUCGGCCACACUGGAGCUGAGACACGGUCCAGACUCCUACGAGAGGCAGCAGUAGGGAAUCUUCCGCAAUGGGCGGAAGCCUGACGGAGCAACGCCGCGUGAGUGAUGAAGGUCUUCGGAUCGUAAAACUCUGUUAUUAGGGAAGAACAAAUGUGUAAGUAACUAUGCACGUCUUGACGGUACCUAAUCAGAAAGCCACGGCUAACUACGUG
rnacentral:rRNA from 1 species